rnacentral:lncRNA from 1 species
CACCUUAUCUAAGAAUUCACAACGUAGUCCUCUAUGGAUUCAACGUUUUCUUCCACUGCUUCCUUUUAUUUUCUGUGUUUAGCAUCAAUAAUCCAUGGUUCAUAGAUUCCUAUCAUGGUAUCAGAGCCCAUGGUUUAUGAUCCGGAACCUUGUGGCUUCUGUUCUUCUAUCUAGUCUUAGCUUCCGCGUUGUUUAAUUCAGUAGAUCCCAAUUUUUGUUUUCCCCAAAUCUCAAAACCCUAGCCUAUCGAUUGAAGCUGUGCCGUCCUCAAUUGAAGCAAGUGCGACUUCAUCUGCAGUCGGGCUUUGAUCACCAUCCUCGCUUUCUUUUCUAGUUUGAGUUCUCUGCUCGCAGAUCUCACUGGCGCCAUCUUCACGCUUUUGAUCCUCGUUGCCCUCUCAACCCUGAUUUGCAGUCUAUGGUCACCGAUUCGGUACUAGUCUCUCUCUCAACUGUGUGUUUAUUGCUUUGAUCUGGUUGGAUGUAGAAGUAGGGGAGAUGAUUUGACAGUGCUAGAUGGUUAUUAUAUGUGAAUACUCGGGGCUUCUAAAUCUGAUGGUACUUUGAGAUGGUGAUUUGAGGAUAUAUAUGGGUGCUAUUAUUGUGAUGGUGAUUUUCUAUCCAUGCUUUGGCUCCAAUUAUAGAGGAUUUGAUAAUUUCUUUGUCGAUUCGGUCCCCUCUCUCACUUGAAUCAUGAAAUUUCUCUAUGGUCUGGGAUGUUGUGCUUCAGUUUUCCAGUUUUCCAGUUUUUCUUUUCAUAUCAAGGUUUGUUUGCCGUCAACCAAAAGAAAAAGGUGACGAUGCAGUUUAUAUUUUCUUUUUGUUUGUGGACUGGUGAGUGUGGCUUGAUAAUUUGGAUUAUGGAUUGGUUCUCUAGUUCUUGUGUGAAGUACAUGACUGAAUUUGGGGAAGUAGUUUCUAAUUACUCUGAUAUUUGGAAGUUGCUUCAUUCAAUUGAAAUCUGCCUCAGACAUUCUGCAGUAUUUUAUUCUAGUUAUAUGUGCUUCAUCUGUCAAUGGUUGCUUUAGUAUCACUCGCUGAUAUCUAGAUUGAGCAUCAAUAGCUUCCGACUUGUGCUUUGGCUUAUCAAUUUCUCAUGCACCCACCUCAGUGAGCAUUAGAUUCUUCAACAGAAUUGGUAAUAUCCUCCCAAUUUUUCCACCCUAUCAUUGGAUUUGUGGAAUUGAUUUGUGGUUUAAUUUGCUCUGUCAGUAUCAUCAGUUUGCCAUUUUCCUUUUAUAUCAAAGUUUGUGUCCGCCAUCAACCAAAGAAAAGGUGAUGAAGCAGUUUUAUAUUUUCUUUUUGGUCUGGUGAAUUGGCUUGGCAAGUUGGACUAUAAAUUGGUUGUAUGGCUCUAUGUGCUAGAUGUGUUAAGUUUGAAGGAGGUUUCCAUAUUUGAUGAGGAAUUUGAAAUUUGCUAUGGAAUUUGUUGUGCCUACUGUUUCUGGGGUGGAUACAUUGCUACUGAUAUUGUGUUUGGGUGAAUCCCCUAGUAGAGAUGAGGUUAUGCAAAACAGAGAUGAGGUAGAGAUGAGUUGCUGGUUAUAUACGAGUACAUAUGGACUUGAUAAUUAAGGCAGAAUUCUUCUAAUGUUUGUGCAAUAAGCUUUAUAUGGUUACUGGUAGAGUGCAAGUGUUUCAGAUAUGAAAGUUAAACAAGAUUCAAGUUCUUAUGCAGCUUUUCAGUUUGUCAGAUUACAAUUGAAGAAAGAAAUAUAUAUAUAUAUAUAUAUAUAUAUAUAUCUAUGCUAGUUUUCAGAUUUGGAUUUAUUUUCAGUUUUACAUAGUUUGCUGCUAUGCUACUGGGUUUAUUCUUCAUCAUGUUACACUACUAGCUACCAGUGAGAUUCUUCCAGCAAGCUCUGUCUCCUCUUUUUAUCAAAUCUGUUGCAAGUCAAGAUGGAAGCUAGUUGAUCUUAUCAUAUCAAGUUGGGGUUUUAAAUUGGGAGAUUUCUUGUAAUAUUUUGGGCUAUGGUUGUGUAGUUUGCAGGCAACCAUUAUGCUUGGUACCAAGCAUAUUGUUGAGGGAGGGUGUUAGCAAUAUAUCAUUAGUAUCGCAAAGGUAGAAUAGUCAUUGACUUGUAUUACCUGGUACCUAUAUAAAGGCUAUAUUGUACUGUUUCACCUUAUCUAAGAAUUCACAAUGUAGUUCUCUGUAGAUUCAACGUUUUCUUCUACUGCUUCCUUUUAUUUUCUGCGUUUAGCAUCAAUAAUCUAUGGUUCAUAGAUUCCUAUCAUUGUUGUCUUCAUAGACAUUUUAACUUUGAUCCCUAGUUCCUAGCUUCCAUCAAUCCAUCUAAAUCUGUAUCAACUAAGUUCCAUACUACUGUCAUGUCU